rnacentral:rRNA from 1 species
GACGAAGGAUGCAAGCGUUAUCCGGAUUCAUUGGGUUUAAAGGGAGCGUAGGUGGUCUUCUAAGUCAGUGGUGAAAUCUCUCGGCUUAACUGAGAAAUUGCCAUUGAUACUGGAAGACUUGAGUGUAGUUGCCGUUGGCGGAAUAUGACAUGUAGUGGUGAAAUACAUAGAGAUGUCAUAGAACACCGAUUGCGAAGGCAGCUAACGAAACUAUAACUGACACUGAGGCUCGAAAGUGCGGGGAUCAAACAGG